AUUGAACGCUGGCGGCAUGCUUUACACAUGCAAGUCGAACGGUAACAGGCCUUCGGGUGCUGACGAGUGGCGAACGGGUGAGUAAUGCAUCGGAACGUGCCCAAUCGUGGGGGAUAACGUAGCGAAAGUUACGCUAAUACCGCAUAAGCCCUGAGGGGGAAAGUGGGGGACCGCAAGGCCUCACGCGAAUGGAGCGGCCGAUGUCAGAUUAGCUAGUUGGUGGGGUAAAGGCUCACCAAGGCGACGAUCUGUAGCGGGUCUGAGAGGGAUGAUCCGCCACACUGGGACUGAGACACGGCCCAGACUCCUACGGGAGGCAGCAGUGGGGAAUUUUGGACAAUGGGCGCAAGCCUGAUCCAGCCAUGCCGCGUGCGGGACGAAGGCCU
rnacentral:rRNA from 1 species